GCCGGUGAUUAUAGCGCGAGGGCCACACCCGUUCCCAUCCCGAACACGGUCGUUAAGCCUCGCAGCGCGGAUGGUACUGCCGGGGAGACCCGGUGGGAGAGUACGACGUCGCCGGCC
rnacentral:rRNA from 1 species